rnacentral:rRNA from 1 species
UACCAGCACCCCGAGUGGUCGGGACGAUUAUUGGGCCUAAAGCAUCCGUAGCCGGCCUUACAAGUCCUCCGUUAAAUCCAGCUGCUUAACAGAUGGGCUGCGGAGGAUACUAUAAGACUAGGAGGCAGGAGAGGCAAGCGGUACUCAGUGGGUAGGGGUAAAAUCCGUUGAUCCAUUGAAGACCACCAGUGGCGAAGGCGGCUUGCCAGAAUGCGCUCGACGGAGAGGGAUGAAAGCUGGGGGAGCAAACCGG